rnacentral:rRNA from 1 species
UACGAGGGGGGCAAGCGUUGUUCGGAAUUACUGGGCGUAAAGCGUGCGCAGGCGGUUUUGUAAGCCAGAUGUGAAAUCCCCGGGCUCAACCUGGGAAUGGCAUUUGGGACUGCAAGGCUGGAGUUUGGCAGAGGAGACUGGAAUUCCUGGUGUAGCAGUGAAAUGCGUAGAUAUCAGGAGGAACACCGGUGGCGAAGGCAGCUUUCUGGACAGAUACCGACGCUGAGGCACGAAAGCUAGGGGAGCAAACAGG